rnacentral:rRNA from 1 species
GUGGGGAAUAUUGGGCAAUGGGGGCAACCCUGACCCAGCGACGCCGCGUGGGUGAAGAAAUCCCUCGGGAUGUAAAGCCCUGUUGUAUGGGAAGAGCAGAAGACGGUACCAUACGCGGAAGCCCCGGCAAACUACGUGCCAGCAGCCGCGGUACUACGUAGGGGGCAAGCGUUGUCCGGAAUUACUGGGCGUAAAGCGCACGAAGGCUGAAUUAUAAGUCGGUAGUCAAAUACGGUGGCUCAACUUCCGGAUAUCUAUCGAUACUGUAAAUCUAGAGUAUGUGAGAGGGAAGCGGAAUUCCCGGUGUAGCGUGGAAAUGCGUAGAUAUCGGGAGGAACACCAGUUGCGAAGGCGGCUUCCGGGCACAAUACUGACGCUCAUGUGCGAAAGCUAGGGCAGCGAACGGGAUUAGAUACCCCGGUAGUCC